UAUUAUUUUGGAAGCACACACCUGUAUUUGGACUAAACAUACUAGCAUGACCACAAAAAGAUUCAAGAUUGUGGCUCAACUGACGAGAGGCCAUAAGGUUUGUGAGAACGCUGAUAUUCUUGUCCUGGGUUCGAUGGAAACAUGGUGUCAGGACGUGCGCUGGUCUGUCAAUACAGUUCCCUCUGAAGCCCAGGAUUUGUUUUUACUAUACACUGAAGACAUUUGGGUUUGAGAUAUGUCGGUCAUUUUUAGGACAUUCCAAACAUGUUCCAAUAUUUUUGAUCAUUUGAAAAAUGGGUAGGUUUAAACACAAGGUGCCAUAUUUUAAGUUGUUUGAAUUUAAUUUCCUAAUAUUUACAUCUAAAUUUGUUAAUCAACUCCUAUUCAUCGUUUGAUCUCGAGCCCAAAUGUUUCCAGUAUAUAGCAAACCAAAAUAAUUGUCCUUGCUGUUCUAAUACUUUUCUCCAUAUAAUGGGAAUAGCUCAGCAGCGGUGUUCUUCACAGUGGCUGACAGUUUUUGGUCUUGGUCUUGUCACUGAGUUGACCUGUGGAGAUCCAGGGCAGGUUUCAUGGUGAUUUUCUCUGGCACGUGGGGCAUCUUCAAGUUACUUGGUUACAGUUAUAUUUCUAUAGCACUUUUCUAGACACUCAAAGUGCUUUACACUGGGAGGAGACCACUAGUGUGUAUCCUCCACCUGGAUGAUGGGACAGCAGUCAUAGUGCUCCAGAACUCCCACCACACACCAGCUAUUAGUGGAGAGGAGAGAGUGAUGUAGCCAAUUCAGAGAUGGGGAUUAUUAGGGGGUGAUCGAGAAGGCCAAUGAGGGAAUUUGGGCAGGACACUGGGGUUAUACCCCUACUCUUUUUUUUUUAUUUUUAUUUAUUUUUAUUUAUGUUUUAUAUUUUUAAUGACCACAGAGAGUCAGGACCUCAGUUUAAUGUCUCAUCCAAAAGACAGUGCUGUUUAUACAGUAGUGUCCCCGUCACUAUAUUGGGGCAUUAGACCCCACACAGACCACAGGGUGAGCCCACCCUGCUGGUCUCACUAUUACCACUUCCAUCAGCAAGCUUAGUUUUCCCCAGGAGGUCUCCCAGUACUGGCCAGGCUCAACCCUGCUUAUCUUCAGUGGGACGCCAGGCAAGAGCUGUAGGGAGAGAUGGCUCUGGUUAUGUAUUUCUGCAUUCAGUGAUGGACUGGGAACCUGUUUUCUCAUAGCUGCCCUAACUGUUUAGGAGGGCGUGCUCCUCAGUGCAGAGGUACGCUUCCAUAUGGAGGCUCUAUUCAAUGACUGUACCCUGUGCUGUGAUUGGCUUGCAGGUUUGGAGGCAGUGUGUUUGAAGUGCCACUGCACUACGAUAAGCCCGCCUUUGAGAGUGAAACUCGCAGCUAGGAGACCAGCGAAACACACUGUGACUGUAAACACACACACACGCACAUGCGUACAUGUUCACAUACACUAUACAUACAUUUACAGUCACAGGUUUGGAUUUAAAAAUGCAUUUUAUUUAUUUCUGUGUGUGAGUUAUUUAAUGACCUCAUGCUGUGGUUAAUGGGAGGAAAAUCUCUCUUCUCUUUUAUCUCUGGGGUGUGUGUACUGGAGAAACACACAGUUCACCAGCUCCCUCUGCUGGACAUGUGUUGCAUUACCUCUCUCUUUCUCGCACACACAGUCCGUAUAUACUGAAUUUGCCAUGUGACAGGUGUUCCUGGUUCAGUAUGGGUGGAGCUUAUGUGAAUUUUUUUUCAACUUAAUCAUGUGACAUCCGUUAGCUUUUCUUUCCACUUGUUCAGCUUGAUCAUCUAUUUAAUGCUGUAUAGCGACUGCUGGGUAGGUAACGUUAAUGUUCGCUAUGUUAACUAGUGCUGUGGGUAGGUGACGGGCUAGCACAGCUGAUAUUACUAAACUAUUAUACUGUUUAAUUAUAGGCAGGCUUUUAUGCCCACAAAUACUAAAGAAAUAAAAACAGAAGCUAGUGGUAAUGUUAUACAGUUCAGAUUAUACUUAAGCUCCGCCCUCACUGACUCAGACACGCCUGUCAAUUGGCACAAAAAGCUUGCUAUUCAAAAAAAAAAAAAAAAAAACCUUAAAAUUAUUCUAAUUUUACAAAAUAUCAAAAUGUGUCCUUUUAUGUGUGUGUGCUUCACAAUGUGGCCUUAUUGGUAUCUUCUGUACUCUAUGAACUACUGAUCUGAGCUGUUAAAUAAGAGGUGUAAUUUUAAUCAAAUUAUAGUGAUAUGAAAAUGUAAACUGUAAAUAAAGUCUCUUUUUAUCAUGAAUGUGUGUGUCCACUUGAUCCCUUGGCAUGAGCGGGGAUAUUUAUCUAGAGUAUCAGUUACUAUACGAAGUCUGUAGUAACAGCAUUUCUCUGAAGAUGAUUUAAUGGAGCUUGUGUUUAGAGUGUAACUUGUACUUUAGUUUUCUUCAUUUUCCCAAAAUUUAACACCAGAUACUUCACAGUACACGAAUACCACAUGGAGAUACAAACUUUAUAGUUGACGUGAGGGUAACACUGUUUACACAAGGGUAAUAGGGUUGACACUGAGGUAAUGCUGUUUACACAAGGGUAACAGGCUUGACACUGAGGUAACACUGGUUACACAAGGGUAACAGGCUUGACACUGAGGUAACAGGGUUUACGACCUUUAAGUGUAGAGAUCUGAUUAAUUUUAUGUACAUAUGCGUGUUCAUGAAUAAAAAAACGUACUGUCGUGUCUGCUCAACUUUUUUUUGAUGAGGGAUAUGCAAAUUGAAUUUAAAUUCACUAGUCUUACUUAAAUUUCCUAUAUUAACUUGUAGAUUUUAAUUAUAAAUAUAUUUUCUAAUUAUUAUAGUCUCUAUUGUAUCACUGGAACAAUGGCCCAUAUACACUCAGCUAAUCACGUGACAGCAGCACUGUACAUGAAAUCAUGCAGCUACAGGUCAAUAGCUUUAUUAAUGUUCACAUCAAACAUGUAUUAUUGUGUAUGGGGAGGACCGGGUGGGUGUGAGACCCAGUUUCUGUCCCAAUUUCUGUCCCAGUCUGGCCCGGCUCCUUCAGGAACUACUUUAUCUGAUGUGUAUAUCAGCUGCUUAUUUCUUCUUGGCCUUUACACACAGUAAAGGUUUACUGUGCUGCAGUUCUACAUGUCUUUAUUCUUUUGACCAUUAGGGGGUCUCCAAUGUAAACCCUUGAGAAAUUAAACAUUUUCAACACAUCUGUAAUAAAGCUGCAACUUUUGGGGUUUUGAGGGGUUUUUUUUUUUUUUUUUGGAGAGUUUUUUCAGGUUUGGAGGGUUUGAGGGGUUUUUGGACUGUUUUGGCGGGUUUUUUGGGUUUUGAGUUUUUUAGCAUUUCGGAGGGUUUCAGAGGUUUUCUGAGUUUUUUUUUAAUUAUUUUUUUUUAGGCUUUUGGAGGGCAUUGGAGUGUGAUGAUCAUGGUGACAAUGUUGACGAUGUUGAUGACGACGAUGAUGUUGAUGAUGAUGACGAUGAUGAUGAUGAUGACUAUGACCAUGAUGAUGACAAUGUUGAUGACGUGAUUAUUAUGAUGAUGACGAUGAAGAUGAUGAUGACGGCGACGAUGAUGAUGAUAACGAUGGUGAUGAUGAUGACAAUGACGAUGAUAUGACUGCGAUGAUGGUGACGAUGAUGAUGAUGAUUACGAUGAUGGUGACGACGAAGAUGACGAUGAUGCGUGUAUGAAGCAGUGCUGCACGGAGCAGAUGACGGAAUGUCUGGACUGGAUUAUGGCUGAAUCCAUGCUGAGGGAGGUGUUGACUAAAUUAGAGAUGGUGCUGGACCAACAAACCACUGAGCUUGCUUCAACUACAGGUGUUCCAGGUGCAGUCUUUGGAUACUGAUGAAGAUUUACUGCCCUGCAAGAUCUUCCUCAACUGCAUAGUCUGGAGCAAAGGAUGCAACAGAGCCCAGAUUGCAAGCAAAAACUGGUGAGAAUUUUUUUCUUUUUUUGUUAACAAUUGCUUGCACAAUUACACAGCUACUGAGAGUGUUUGUUUUCUCAAGGUGACACACUCGUACUCAAAGCACAACAUUCAACACCACUUUGAUAUGAGGGAACAGUUAUGACCUAAUCUUUGGUAGAGGAGCAAAACAUGGAAAGCACACAGGGCAGGGUAACUGCAGGAGUAGUGAGAAGCACUGACACAGUUGACAAGGCAAUACAUGCUUAUUAAUUAUUUAUAUUUUAUAUUAUUUUAUAUUAUAUUAUUGUUUUAAAAAUCAUCGGUUUCGGGUAAACUGGUUGGCGCUUAUUGACAGGGCAGAUGUGCUUGACUGCACCUGGCGCAUAUUGAAGAGGGUGAUUGCUAACUCCCUGGCAAAGAACCUCAAUUGGAGGGGAGUCAAUGGAAAGACUUCACUGGCCACUCUCCAACUUGGAGAGGUCAUGAUUGGUAAGUAUAUCUGUUUACAUACAGAAUUAGCUGUCUCUCUCAGAUGAUAUGUAAGGGGUAAUAGCUAGAUGUGCAUUAAACGAUUUUAGUGCAUGAUGUGGAGGAAAAGAACCACUGGUUCAAAUCGUCACCUAGCCAUGGAUUACCCCGCUUAUACCAUGGUCUUUCCACAAUUAAUAACAUUAAAGCUGUCAUUGAUUUUAGAAGCACAAACUUUGAUUAGAAGUUUAAAAUGACAGUUAAUUUCUAUUAGUUAGGUCGUUAGAUCUGGAAUUUUGCCCGAUAUAAAUCAGACACAGAGAUAAAGUAGUGUGAUGAGAUUACAUUUAUUUGAAUGAAUUGACAGAUAUCUAUCAGAGACAGAGAGAUUAAUCAUGUAUGAAUUUCCUGCAUCAUGUGCCUCUCAGCAGUCAGUCAGUGCGUUUACAUGGACAACAACAAUCCACUGUUAACCCGAUUAAGACGAUACUUUGAUUAAGAAACUACCAUGUAAACAGCAAUUUUUAAUUACCUUAAUCUGAUUAAAGUCAAGUUACUCGAAGUAAGCACUAAUCGAAUUAAGACAUGUCGAGUACUCCUGUUUUAGUCGCAUUAUCAACGUGUAUUACAGACAUGUAAACACCUGAAUCACAUUAUUA